CCUACGGGAGGCAGCAGUAGGGAAUAUUGCACAAUGGUGGAAACCCUGAUGCAGCGACGCCGCGUGAGUGAAGAAGUAUUUCGUUAUGUAAAGCUCUAUCAUCAGGGAAGAAAAUGACGGUACCUGAGUAAGAAGCCCCGGCUAACUACGUGCCAGCAGCCGCGGUACUACGUAGGGGGCAAGCGUUAUCCGGAUUUACUGGGUGUAAAGGGAGCGUAGACGGCAGUGCAAGUCUGGAGUGAAAGGCGGGGGCUCAACCCCCGAACUGCUCUGGAAACUGUACGGCUGGAGUGCAGGAGAGGUAAGUGGAAUUCCUGGUGUAGCGGUGAAAUGCGUAGAGAUUAGGAGGAACACUAGUGGCGAAGGCGGCUUACUGGACUGUAACUGACGUUGAGGCGCGAAAGCGUGGGGAGCAAACAGGAUUAGAUACCCCAGUAGUC
rnacentral:rRNA from 1 species